CCCGAAAUAUCCUUGUGCCCUCGUUGCUGGGGAGCACAUAGAUAAGCUACAUCUUUGCUUCAGCAGCUCCAGUAGUGUGAUGAAUAGCAAUCAGAUGUUACUUUUUCACGCGCGAGCCCAGAAGCGUUUGCACAACAGGAGUGUUCACAAUUGGCUACUGAGUAUGUAAGUAUUUGCAUUUUCGUACAGUACCUCAUGGAUUAAGUAUGGACUCCGCCCGAAGAGCUUCAUUAGUGCUGUACCUUACUGUUCCCUGUGAGAGUUGGUAUUGAGAACACAACUGCGUAUGUAGUAUAAACUGCGAA
rnacentral:sRNA from 1 species